UGGCUCUCGCAUCGAUGAAGAACGCAGCGAAAUGCGAUAAGUAAUGUGAAUUGCAGAAUUCAGUGAAUCAUCGAAUCUUUGAACGCACCUUGCGCCCCUUGGCAUUCCGAGGGGCAUGCCUGUUUGAGUGUCACGUUAACAUCUCAUCCACCGUGGUUUACUGCGGGACGAUGGGGAUUUGGACGCCUGCCGUUGUCGGCUCGUCUUAAAAUGCAUUAGCCUGGCAGAUUUUGGGAGCCGGCCCGUAGGUGUGAUAACCUUUACGCCCUCUGGUGCCUUCCCUCUGUCGGCUUAUAGCCGUCUCCUCCUGGGGACAAUAAUUUUACGCUCUGGCCUCAAAUCAGGUAGGACUACCCGCUGA
rnacentral:misc_RNA from 1 species